UUAAGCGAAUAAGCGUACACGGUGGAUGCCUAGGCAAUCAGAGGCGAUGAAGGACGUGCUAAUCUGCGAUAAGCGUCGGUAAGGUGAUAUGAACCGUUAUACCCGACGAUUUCCGAAUGGGGAAACCCAAUAUCCAAUGGAUAUUAUCCUGACAUGAAUACAUAGUGUUAGGAAGCGAACCGGGAGAACUGAAACAUCUCAGUACCCCGAGGAAAAGAAAUCAACCGAGAUUCCCCUAGUAGCGGCGAGCGAACGGGGAACAGCCCAGAGUCUUAAUCAAUAGCAGCAUCAGGAGAACGGUCUGGAAAGUCCGGCAGUAAAGGGUGAUAGCCCCGUAUCCGAAGAUGCUGUUAUUGUGAACUCGACGAGUAGGGCGGGACACGUGUUAUCCUGUCUGAAUAUGGGGGGACCAUCCUCCAAGGCUAAAUACUCCUGAUUGACCGAUAGUGAACCAGUACCGUGAGGGAAAGGCGAAAAGAACCCCGGCGAGGGGAGUGAAAAAGAACCUGAAACCGUGUACGUACAAGCAGUAGGAGCCUCUUUAUGGGGUGACUGCGUACCUUUUGUAUAAUGGGUCAGCGACUUAUAUUCUGUAGCAAGGUUAACCGUAUAGGGGAGCCGUAGGGAAACCGAGUCUUAACUGGGCGAAUGAGUUGCAGGGUAUAGACCCGAAACCCGGUGAUCUAUCCAUGGGCAGGUUGAAGGUUGGGUAACACUAACUGGAGGACCGAACCGACUAAUGUUGAAAAAUUAGCGGAUGACUUGUGGAUGGGGGUGAAAGGCCAAUCAAACCGGGAGAUAGCUGGUUCUCCCCGAAAGCUAUUUAGGUAGCGCCUCGUGAACUCAUCUUCGGGGGUAGAGCACUGUUUCGACUAGGGGGUCAUCCCGACUUACCAACUCGAUGCAAACUGCGAAUACCGAAGAAUGUUAUCACGGGAGACACACGGCGGGUGCUAACGUCCGUCGUGAAGAGGGAAACAACCCAGACCGCCAGCUAAGGUCCCAAAGUCAUGGUUAAGUGGGAAACGAAGUGGGAAGGCUCAGACAGCCAGGAUGUUGGCUUAGAAGCAGCCAUCAUUUAAAGAAAGCGUAAUAGCUCACUGGUCGAGUCGGCCCGCGCGGAAGAUGUAACGGGGCUAAACCAUGCACCGAAGCUGCGGCAGCAAUACUGUGUAUUGUUGGGUAGGGGAGCGUUCUGUAAGCCUGCGAAGGUGUACUGUGAGGUAUGCUGGAGGUAUCAGAAGUGCGAAUGCUGACAUAAGUAACGAUAAUGCGGGUGAAAAACCCGCACGCCGGAAGACCAAGGGUUCCUGUCCAACGUUAAUCGGGGCAGGGUGAGUCGACCCCUAAGGCGAGGCUGAAAAGCGUAGUCGAUGGGAAACGGGUUAAUAUUCCCGUACUGGUGGUAACUGCGAUGGGGGAACGGAGAAGGCUAGGUUGUCCGGGCGACGGUCGUCCCGGUUCAAGCAUGUAGGCAGAGUGAUUAGGCAAAUCCGGUCACUUAAUGCUGAGGUGUGAUGACGAGCCACUAAGGUGGUGAAGCAAUUGAUGCCCUGCUUCCAGGAAAAGCCUCUAAGCUUCAGGUUACCAACAAUCGUACCCCAAACCGACACAGGUGGUCAGGUAGAGAAUACUCAGGCGCUUGAGAGAACUCGGGUGAAGGAACUAGGCAAAAUGGUGCCGUAACUUCGGGAGAAGGCACGCUGGCGGUAAGUGAAGUCCCUUGCGGACGGAGCCGAAGCCAGUCGAAGAUACCAGCUGGCUGCAACUGUUUAUUAAAAACACAGCACUGUGCAAACACGAAAGUGGACGUAUACGGUGUGACGCCUGCCCGGUGCUGGAAGGUUAAUUGAUGGGGUUAUCCUUAGGGAGAAGCUCUUGAUCGAAGCCCCAGUAAACGGCGGCCGUAACUAUAACGGUCCUAAGGUAGCGAAAUUCCUUGUCGGGUAAGUUCCGACCUGCACGAAUGGCGUAAUGAUGGCCAGGCUGUCUCCACCCGAGACUCAGUGAAAUUGAACUCGCUGUGAAGAUGCAGUGUACCCGCGGCAAGACGGAAAGACCCCGUGAACCUUUACUAUAGCUUGACACUGAACAUUGAGCCUUGAUGUGUAGGAUAGGUGGGAGACUAUGAAGUGUGGACGCCAGUCUGCAUGGAGUCAACCUUGAAAUACCACCCUUUAACGUUUGAUGUUCUAACCUAGGCCCAUAAUCUGGGUCGGGGACCGUGUCUGGUGGGUAGUUUGACUGGGGCGGUCUCCUCCUAAAGAGUAACGGAGGAGCACGAAGGUUGGCUAAGCAUGGUCGGACAUCAUGCGGUUAGUGCAAAGGCAUAAGCCAGCUUGACUGUGAGAGUGACGGCUCGAGCAGGUACGAAAGUAGGUCUUAGUGAUCCGGUGGUUCUGAAUGGAAGGGCCAUCGCUCAACGGAUAAAAGGUACUCCGGGGAUAACAGGCUGAUACCGCCCAAGAGUUCAUAUCGACGGCGGUGUUUGGCACCUCGAUGUCGGCUCAUCACAUCCUGGGGCUGAAGUAGGUCCCAAGGGUAUGGCUGUUCGCCAUUUAAAGUGGUACGCGAGCUGGGUUUAGAACGUCGUGAGACAGUUCGGUCCCUAUCUGCCGUGGGCGUUGGAAGAUUGAGAGGGGUUGCUCCUAGUACGAGAGGACCGGAGUGAACGCACCACUGGUGUUCGGGUUGUCAUGCCAAUGGCAUUGCCCGGUAGCUAAGUGCGGAAGAGAUAACCGCUGAAAGCAUCUAAGCGGGAAACUUGCCUCAAGAUGAGUCUUCCCUGUCACCUUGAGUGACCUAAAGGAACGUUUAAGACUAAGACGUUGAUAGGCUGGGUGUGUAAGCGUAGCGAUACGUUGAGCUAACCAGUACUAAUGAACCGUGAGGCUUAACCUG
rnacentral:rRNA from 1 species